rnacentral:tRNA from 1 species
GCCUGGGUGGCUCAGUCGGUUAAGCGUCCGACUUUGGCUCGGGUCAUGAUCUCACAGUCCGUGAGUUCGAGCCCCACGUCAGGCU